rnacentral:rRNA from 1 species
GAUGAACGCUGGCGGCGUGCUUAACACAUGCAAGUCGAACGAAGCACCUUGAUUUGAUUCUUCGGAUGAAGAUCUUGGUGACUGAGUGGCGGACGGGUGAGUAACGCGUGGGUAACCUGCCUCAUACAGGGGGAUAACAGUUAGAAAUGACUGCUAAUACCGCAUAAGACCACAGCACCGCAUGGUGCAGGGGUAAAAACUCCGGUGGUAUGAGAUGGACCCGCGUCUGAUUAGGUAGUUGGUGGGGUAACGGCCUACCAAGCCGACGAUCAGUAGCCGACCUGAGAGGGUGACCGGCCACAUUGGGACUGAGACACGGCCCAAACUCCUACGGGAGGCAGCAGUGGGGAAUAUUGUACAAUGGGGGAAACCCUGAUGCAGCGACGCCGCGUGAGCGAUGAAGUAUUGCGGUAUGUAAAGCUCUAUCAGCAGGGAAGAAAAUGACGGUACCUGACUAAGAAGCACCGGCUAAAUACGUG